CUGGUUCAGAACGAACGCUGGCGGCGUGCUUAACACAUGCAAGUCGAACGCGAAAGGGACUUCGGUCCUGAGUAAAGUGGCGCACGGGUGAGUAACGCGUAGAUAACCUGUCUUCAUGUCUGGAAUAAUACGCCAAAGGGGUACUAAUACCGGAUAUUCUUGCUUUUCAUAAGUUAUGCAAGCAAAGGUGGCCUCUGCAUAUGUUACUGCAUGAAGAGGGGUCUGCGUACCAUUAGCUAGUAGGUGGGGUAAUGGCCUACCUAGGCGACGAUGGUUAGCGGGUCUGAGAGGAUGAUCCGCCACACUGGCACUGGAACACGGGCCAGACUCCUACGGGAGGCAGCAGUGAGGAAUAUUGCGCAAUGGGGGAAACCCUGACGCAGCGACGCCGCGUGAGUGAAGGAAGGCCUUCGGGUCGUAAAGCUCUGUCAAGAGGAAAGAAGUGUACAAUGGCUAAUACCUGUUGUAUUUGACGGUACCUCUAAAGGAAGCACCGGCUAACUCCGUGCCAGCCGCUGC
rnacentral:rRNA from 1 species